GGGCGCUUGGCACAGGGGUAGCGCGCACGCUGCGCAUGUCCGACUGCGUGAGGUCGUGGGUUCAAAUCCCACAGUGUCCA
rnacentral:tRNA from 1 species